AUCAUAUUAUCUCUAAAUGGCAUCUUGAAGAUUGCCAGAAAUUAUUAAUUUAGUUUCAGUGAAAACGUGCAAGGACAUACUUUGUCCACUGGAGGCACCAUAAUCCAACAUAGUACUACAGUACUAAACAUUAAUAUCCAUAAAUGACUGAAAGGAAUCAAAGAAUGUAAUAAGAAAUUACAGUAUAUCUCCACAUUUUCAUACCCUUCUGUCAGAGAAUAAAAAAGACUCAGAAACUCCUAGCAUAUUAUAAUCCUAAUAACUGGGGGGGGGGGAUUUUUAGAGAAAUUAAGUAACUUGUGUUUCCUGAUAGCCUCAUUUGCACAUCAAAAGCUGGACACCUGCGCCAUCGAAUUUCCCCCAAAAUACAAAACGCACUCAGACAAUGGUCAAAUGGGAAGCUCUGACAUUCGGGGCUUCUCUUGGGCCUUGGAAGAGCAAAGAAAGCAAAUUAAAGUGAUUUCACAAAACUGUACCAUCCAGUCUGAAGCUUUUAGGGGAAGGAGUGGAGUGUCUCUGUCAAAACUACCAAUUUUUAAAUUCAUUACUAACAUAGGAUUUGUAUCUCAAUGAAGUGGUAAGGUCAGGAUUCAAGUUCUAAUCAAGUAAUAAGUCAAAGUACUUUCUGAGUAGAUAGAAUCACAGGUGUGAAACACCAUACCUGGUUCAUUGAUUGUGACAAGGGCUCACUAAAAUUUUGCCUGGGGCUGCAUUUGUUUAUGAGAAAUAAUAAAUACAACAAUAAAUAAAUAAAUACACCUAUUUACAUUUUCCAUUUGCAAUGAAGCUAUACAUGAGAAUAAGGGACUCCGUUUGUGUCUGGUUACUGUACUGUGGUGAACAUAUAUUCAUGCACCUCUAGAGCUGUUUCAACACUUGAAGUUAAACAAUAUCUGAGAAUAAGAACAUUCAUUGCAGAAUUA